GCCCAGAUCAGUGUCUAACCUGCUGCUCCCAGAUCAGUGUCUAACCUGCUGCUCCCAGAUCAGUGUCUAACCUGCUGCUCCCAGAUCAGUGUCUAACCUGCUGCUCCCAGAUCAGUGUCUAACCUGCUGCUCCCAGAUCAGUGUCUAACCUGCUGCUCCCAGAUCCGUGUCUAACCUGCUGCUCCCAGAUCCGUGUUGUGCCAUCAUUCCAUUCAUUGUCAUGUUUGGAUGCCAGGAAGUGGCAAGGAGUGACAUGAUGGUCCAAGCAUACUGAUAUACCCAGGCUAACCAAUCACCAUCAUAACAUUCUAAUUUACAUUCUGACUGGAAUAAUCAUGGCAUGAUACUUUGGGUGCUAACAGUGGCGCCCAUUACAGAUACUAAACCUCAAACCCAGUUGACCCUCUACUGUACUGUAUAGAUAUGUCUCAGGGUCAAUAACCUGCCAGGCUACUUCCGUUGGGCUGUAUUCUGUAGCGACUACUCCAGAACAUAUUGUACACAUCACAAUCACAUUUUCUUCAUCAUAGCCAGACAACAGGCCUCCUCGGGAUGUUUACAUGAGAUUUAAUGGAGGAUGGUUGAUACAUGGUGAAUGACGUUACCUUUUAAAGAGCAACUCUCUCAAUAGGCAAAGAGGCAGACAUUUUGGGGAAAUGACAUUCAAGCAGCAUUGAAAAAAAUAGAGCAACUAUAAAGGACAAACCUGAGAAAACAACAGUUGUCUGUUGAUAUGUUACCAUGGUAAAACUCCUCCAGACUGCGUGAAACCAUGUUGUUUUACAUGAAUCCAAUAACAGCUCAGGUGUGUCAAGUAUAACAGAGACAGGAGGCAACUGAAAGACACAGUAACAGAAAUGAGAUUCUAGAUGUAGGACUUAGAAGAUGGUCAUUCUAGAUGAGGACUUAGAAGAUGGUCAUUCUAGAUGUAGGACUUAGAAGAUGGUCAUUCUAGAACUAUAACUUAGAAGAUGGUCAUUCUAGAACUAUAACUUAGAAGAUGGUCAUUCUAGAAGUAGGACUUAGAAGAUGGUCAUUCUAGAUGUAGGACUUAGAAGAUGGUCAUUCUAGAUGUAGGACUUAGAAGAUGGUCAUUCUAGAUGUAGGACUUAGAAGAUGGUCAUUCUAGAUGUAGGACUUAGAAGAUGGUCAUUCUAGAUGUAGGACUUAGAAGAUGGUCAUUUUAGAACUAUAACUUAGAAGAUGGUCAUUUUAGAACUAUAACUUAGAAGAUGGUCAUUCUACAAGCAUUUCGCUACACUCGCAUUAACAUCUGCUAACCAUGUGUAUGUGACAAAUACAAUUUGAUUUGAUUUGAUUUGAUUUAGAUGUAGGACUUAGAAGAUGGUCAUUCUAGAACUAUAACUUAGAAGAUGGUCAUUAUAGAUCUAGAACUUAGAAGAUGGUCAUUCUAGAUGUAGAACUUAGAAGAUGGUCAUUCUAGAACUAGAACUUAGAAGAUGGUCAUUCUAGAUGUAGGACUUAGAAGAUGGUCAUUUUAGAACUAUAACUUAGAAGAUGGUCAUUCUAGAACUAUAACUUAGAAGAUGGUCAUUAUAGAUCUAGAACUUAGAAGAUGGUCAUUAUAGAACUAUAACUCAGAAGAUGGUCAUUUUAGAACUAUAACUUAGAAGAUGGUCAUUAUAGAUCUAGAACUUAGAAGAUGGUCAUUCUAGAUGUAGGACUUAGAAGAUGGUCAUUCUAGAUGUAGGACUUAGAAGAUGGUCAUUCUAGAUGUAGGACUUAGAAGAUGGUCAUUCUAGAUGUAGGACUUAGAAGAUGGUCAUUCUAGAUGUAGGACUUAGAAGAUGGUCAUUCUAGAUGUAGGACUUAGAAGAUGGUCAUUUUAGAACUAUAACUUAGAAGAUGGUCAUUCUAGAUGUUGGACUUAGAAGAUGGUCAUUCUAGAACUAUAACUUAGAAGAUGGUCAUUCUAGAUGUAGGACUUAGAAGAUGGUCAUUCUAGAUGUAGGACUUAGAAGAUGGUCAUUUUAGAACUAUAACUUAGAAGAUGGUCAUUUAGAACUAUAACUUAGAAGAUGGUCAUUCUACAAGCAUUUCGCUACACUCGCAUUAACAUCUGCUAACCAUGU
ensembl:lncRNA